GAUCGCUCCCACAACCACAAGUGUACAUCAUCAGCGAGUUAGUCAGGGCACUGGGCACAUACAUUGAUCUGCUCCUUCAAUCAAUAUUUCGAAUUUCUCUCUCUCUCUCUCUCUCUGAUUAUAAACUUGGUAGAAAAAUUAUUUGUGGGUUUUUUCUCUUUGGAGGAGGGGGUUUAAAAUGGCGUCUGGCAAAGAAAGUGAUGAAUCCGCAGAUUCUCCAUCAUCGCCAAAGAACAUAUACAAGGAUCCAGAUGAUGGACGCCAACGGUUCUUGCUUGAAUUGGAGUUCGUUCAAUGCCUUGCUAAUCCCACAUACAUCCACUAUUUGGCUCAGAAUAGAUAUUUUGAGGAUGAAGCUUUCAUUGGCUACUUGAAGUACCUGCAGUAUUGGCAACAGCCUGAGUACAUAAAGUUUAUAAUGUAUCCUCAUUCCCUAUUUUUCCUUGAGCUGCUCCAAAAUGCAAACUUCCGUCAUGCAAUGGCACAUCCUGGCAACAAGGAAUUGGCACAUAGACAACAAUUCUAUUAUUGGAAGAACUACAGAAACAACCGAUUAAAACACAUAUUACCAAGACCACUUCCUGAACCUCCUGUCGCGCCACCAGCUCCUGCUCCACCUCAGCAACCCAUGCCGCCUGUGACUGCCCCGACUAUUGCAAUGCCUGCAGCUCCUGCUCCUGUUCUUUCUCCCAUGCAAUAUGUGAACCCCCAGGGAUCUUCUCUUGCAAAAACUGAUAUGAGGAAUAGUGCGGUUGAUCGAAGAAAGAGAAAGAAAGAAGGUUGAGCUGACCUAUCAAGUAUCAACACUAGAAGACUGUGGAUGAGGAAUUAUCUGGCAAAUGGCUUGCCUGGGUGCUGAGCCUCGUCUCAGAGACGCUUUUACUAAAAAUCCUGUUUUCCUGUUCUGCAAGGGAAAUCUUGGUUCAAAUGGGACUGAGGCCUCUUCAAAUUGAGAGGAUGAUGACAUUUCGAUAAGGAACUUAAAGACACUAAAAAGGACGUGUUGAAGGUCAGUACAAUGUCAAGAACUUGUGGAUUUUUGCCAGUUCCUUUUGUAUUUAAUCACAUGCUUGUUUUAGACCUAAUUAUAGUAGGAAGAGAGCUUUGGAAUACAAAUAUACAAUUUUAUGCCCUGUAGUUCUACACUCUCACCAAUUUCUCUCUCUCUCUCUCUCACUCACGCACACAUGUUUUUUUUUUUUUGUUUAAUGUGUCUAAGUCAGGCACGGAAGGCCUUUUAUAUUCUAUUUAAAUCCAAGAGAGUUCAUCAUUCAAUUGAUCAACUCAUAAGAAAAACAUUAAAGAGACUCAAAGAAGUGAGAAAUC